rnacentral:rRNA from 1 species
GAUUUGUUGGAUGCUAGCGGCGGAUGGGUGAGUAACACGUGGGCAAUCUGCCCUAAAGACUGGGAUACCACUUGGAAACAGGUGCUAAUACCGGAUAACAACAUGAAUCGCAUGAUUCAAGUUUGAAAGGCGGCGCAAGCUGUCACUUUAGGAUGAGCCCGCGGCGCAUUAGCUAGUUGGUGGGGUAAAGGCCUACCAAGGCAAUGAUGCGUAGCCGAGUUGAGAGACUGAUCGGCCACAUUGGGACUGAGACACGGCCCAAACUCCUACGGGAGGCAGCAGUAGGGAAUCUUCCACAAUGGACGCAAGUCUGAUGGAGCAACGCCGCGUGAGUGAAGAAGGUCUUCGGAUCGUAAAGCUCUGUUGUUGGUGAAGAAGGAUAGAGGCAGUAACUGGUCUUUAUUUGACGGUAAUCAACCAGAAAGUCACGGCUAACUACGUGCCAGCAGCCGCGGUAAUACGUAGGUGGCAAGCGUUGUCCGGAUUUAUUGGGCGUAAAGCGAGCGCAGGCGGAAUGAUAAGUCUGAUGUGAAAGCCCACGGCUCAACCGUGGAACUGCAUCGGAAACUGUCAUUCUUGAGUGCAGAAGAGGAGAGUGGAACUCCAUGUGUAGCGGUGGAAUGCGUAGAUAUAUGGAAGAACACCAGUGGCGAACGCGGCUCUCUGGUCUGCAACUGACGCUGAGGCUCGAAAGCAUGGGUAGCGAACAGGAUUAGAUACCCUGGUAGUCCAUGCCGUAAACGAUGAGCGCUAGGUGUUGGGGACUUUCCGGUCCUCAGUGCCGCAGCAAACGCAUUAAGCGCUCCGCCUGGGGAGUACGACCGCAAGGUUGAAACUCAAAGGAAUUGACGGGGGCCCGCACAAGCGGUGGAGCAUGUGGUUUAAUUUGAAGCAACGCGAAGAACCUUUCCAGGUCUUGACAUCCUGCGCUACACCUAGAGAUAGGUGGUUCCCUUUGGGGACGCAGAGACAGGUGGUGCAUGGCUGUUGUCAGCUCGUGUCGUGAGAUGUUGGGUUAAGUCCCGCAACGAGCGCAACCCUUGUCUUUAGUUGCCAUCAUUAAGUUGGGCACUCUAAAGAGACUGCCGGUGACAAACCGGAGGAAGGUGGGGAUGACGUCAAGUCAUCAUGCCCCUUAUGACCUGGGCUACACACGUGCUACAAUGGGCAGUACAACGAGAAGCGAACCCGCGAGGGUAAGCGGAUCUUUUAA